rnacentral:rRNA from 1 species
CUACGUGCCAGCAGCCGCGGUAAUACGUAGGUCCCGAGCGUUGUCCGGAUUUAUUGGGCGUAAAGCGAGCGCAGGCGGUUAGAUAAGUCUGAAGUUAAAGGCUGUGGCUUAACCAUAGUACGCUUUGGAAACUGUUUAACUUGAGUGCAAGAGGGGAGAGUGGAAUUCCAUGUGUAGCGGUGAAAUGCGUAGAUAUAUGGAGGAACACCGGUGGCGAAAGCGGCUCUCUGGUCUGUAACUGACGCUGAGGCUCGAAAGCGUGGGGAGCAAACAGGAUUAGAUACCCUGGUAGUCCACGCUGUAAACGAUGUCGAUUUGGGGGUUGAGCUUUAAGCUUGGCGCCCGUAGCUAACGUGAUAAAUCGACCGCCUGGGGAGUACGGCCGCAAGGUUAAAACUCAAAUGAAUUGACGGGGGCCCGCACAAGCGGUGGAGCAUGUGGUUUAAUUCGAUGCAACGCGAAGAACCUUACCUACUCUUGACAUCCAGAGAACAUUC